rnacentral:rRNA from 1 species
GACGAACGCUGGCGGCGUGCUUAACACAUGCAAGUCGAACGGAAAGGCCCUGCUUUUGUGGGGUGCUCGAGUGGCGAACGGGUGAGUAACACGUGAGUAACCUGCCCUUGACUUUGGGAUAACUUCAGGAAACUGGGGCUAAUACCUGAUAGGAGCUCCUGCUGCAUGGUGGGGGUUGGAAAGUUUCGGCGGUUGGGGAUGGACUCGCGGCUUAUCAGCUUGUUGGUGGGGUAGUGGCUUACCAAGGCUUUGACGGGUAGCCGGCCUGAGAGGGUGACCGGCCGCAUUGGGACUGAGGUACGGCCCAGACUCCUACGGGAGGCAGCAGUGGGAAAUAUUGCACGAUGGGCGGAAGCCUGAUGCAGCAACGCCGCGUGCGGGAUGACGGCCUUCGGGUUGUAAACCGCUUUCGCCUGUGACGAAGCGUGAGUGACGGUAAUGGGUAAAGAAGCACCGGCUAACUACGUG